AGUGAACGCUGGCGGUAGGCCUAACACAUGCAAGUCGAACGGCAGCACAGUAAGAGCUUGCUCUUACGGGUGGCGAGUGGCGGACGGGUGAGGAAUACAUCGGAAUCUACUUUUUCGUGGGGGAUAACGUAGGGAAACUUACGCUAAUACCGCAUACGACCUACGGGUGAAAGCAGGGGAUCUUCGGACCUUGCGCGAUUGAAUGAGCCGAUGUCGGAUUAGCUAGUUGGCGGGGUAAAGGCCCACCAAGGCGACGAUCCGUAGCUGGUCUGAGAGGAUGAUCGGCCACACGGGAACUGGGAAACGGUCCAGACUCCUACGGGAGGCAGCAGUGGGGAAUAUUGGACAAUGGGCGCAAGCCUGAUCCAGCCAUACCGCGUGGGUGAAGAAGGCCUUCGGGUGGUAAAGCCCUUUUGUUGGGAAAGAAAAGCAGCAGGUUAAUACCCCGCUGCUCUGACGGUACCCAAAGAAUAAGCACCGGCUAACUUCGU
rnacentral:rRNA from 1 species